rnacentral:rRNA from 1 species
AACGGGUGAGUAAUAUAUCGGAACGUGCCCAGUAGUGGGGGAUAGCCCGGCGAAAGCCGGAUUAAUACCGCAUACGACCUACGGGUGAAAGCGGGGGAUCGCAAGACCUCGCGCUAUUGGAGCGGCCGAUAUCAGAUUAGGUAGUUGGUGGGGUAAAAGCCUACCAAGCCAACGAUCUGUAGCUGGUCUGAGAGGACGACCAGCCACACUGGGACUGAGACACGGCCCAGACUCCUACGGGAGGCAGCAGUGGGGAAUUUUGGACAAUGGGCGCAAGCCUGAUCCAGCCAUGCCGCGUGCGGGAAGAAGGCCUUCGGGUUGUAAACCGCUUUUGUCAGGGAAGAAACGCUCUGGGAUAAUACCCUGGGGUAAUGACGGUACCUGAAGAAUAAGCACCGGCUAACUACGUGCCAGCAGCCGCGGUAAUACGUAGGGUGCAAGCGUUAAUCGGAAUUACUGGGCGUAAAGCGUGCGCAGGCGGUCUUGCAAGACAGAUGUGAAAUCCCCGGGCUCAACCUGGGAACUGCAUUUGUGACUGCAAGGCUAGAGUACGGUAGAGGGGGAUGGAAUUCCGCGUGUAGCAGUGAAAUGCGUAGAUAUGCGGAGGAACACCGAUGGCGAAGGCAAUCCCCUGGACCUGUACUGACGCUCAUGCACGAAAGCGUGGGGAGCAAACAGGAUUAGAUACCCUGGUAGUCCACGCCCUAAACGAUGUCAACUGGUUGUUGGGAAGGUUCCUUCUCAGUAACGUAGCUAACGCGUGAAGUUGACCGCCUGGGGAGUACGGCCGCAAGGUUGAAACUCAGAGGAAUUGACGGGGACCCGCACAAGCGGUGGAUGAUGUGGUUUAAUUCGACGCAACGCGAAAAACCUUACCUACCCUUGACAUGUCUGGAAUCCUGAAGAGAUUUAGGAGUGCUCGAAAGAGAGCCAGAACACAGGUGCUGCAUGGCCGUCGUCAGCUCGUGUCGUGAGAUGUUGGGUUAAGUCCCGCAACGAGCGCAACCCUUGUCAUUAGUUGCUACGAAAGGGCACUCUAAUGAGACUGCCGGUGACAAACCGGAGGAAGGUGGGGAUGACGUCAGGUCAUCAUGGCCCUUAUGGGUAGGGCUACACACGUCAUACAAUGGCCGGUACAGAGGGCUGCCAACCCGCGAGGGGGAGCUAAUCCCAGAAAACCGGUCGUAGUCCGGAUCGCAGUCUGCAACUCGACUGCGUGAAGUCGGAAUCGCUAGUAAUCGCGGAUCAGCUUGCCGCGGUGAAUACGUUCCCGGGUCUUGUACACACCGCCCGUCACACCAUGGGAGCGGGUUCUGCCAGAAGUAGUUAGCCUAACCGCAAGGAGGGCGAUUACCACGGCAGGGUUCGUGACUGGGGUGAAGUCGUAACAAGGUA